UAGUAGUAGUAGUAGUAGUAGUAGUAGUAGUGGUAAUAGCAGUGUAGUAAUAGUAGUAGUGGUGGUAGUAGUAGCAGUAAUAUGUAUAAUAGUAGUAGUGGUGGUGGUAGUAGUAGUAGUGGUAAUAGUAGUGUAGUAGUAGUGGUAAUAGUAGUGUAGUAAUAGUAGUAGUGGUGGUGGUAGUAGUAGUAGUGGUAAUAGUAGUGUAGUAAUAGUAAUAGUAGUAGUGGUAAUAGUAGUGUAGUAAUAGUAGUAGUGGUGGUAGUAGUAGUAGUGGUAAUAGUAGUUUAGUAAUAGUAGUAGUGGUAGUAGUAGUAGUGGUAAUAGUAGUGUAGUAAUAGUAGUAGUGGUGGUAGUAGUAGUAGUGGUAGUAGUGUACUACUAGUAGUAGUGGUGGUUUAGUAAUAGUAGUAGUGGUGGUAUAGUAGUAGCAGUAGUAAUAGUAGUAGUAACCCCAUUAUUUUCCAUUAUUUUCAUAUUAUUCCACAAUAAACUAUAUGUACACCUUCGUUUUUUUUCCUCCCCCUCUCUUCAUCCGUUUAUUCAUCUCCCCUCUCCGCUAGUCAAGUAACUAUCCAGCAACUAUUAUAUUUAUCCCAUACUUUUCACACAAUAUCAUCAGUACAUGUUUUAAUAUUAUUCUAACUAGUAACCCUGUUCUUCAAAUACCCUAUUAUUAAUAAACAUUAUUAACCCCUUUUUCACUAUGGGUUAUGUGGCCAUGGUUGAUUAUUCAAUAAUGUGUGAUAAAGUGUACAGUAUUAUUACUUAAAGACUGUGAUUUAUUUAGAGACUACUGUGAAACUAACAGAGAAGGUGUGUAUUUAUAGACCGACACAUGCUUCCUGUUUAAAGGGUUAAUAUUCUGUUAAAAC
ensembl:lncRNA